UCAUGAAAGCUGGUUGCACCCGAAGCCAUCGAGCAAACGGAAACGAUGCAGAUGUCGAAGGUGCGGCUAGUGAUUGGGAUG
rnacentral:rRNA from 1 species